UGAACGCUAGCUACAGGCUUAACACAUGCAAGUCGAGGGGCAGCAUGUCGGUUGCUUGCAACCGAUGAUGGCGACCGGCGCACGGGUGAGUAACGCGUAUCCAACCUACCCUUGUCCAUCGGAUAACCCGUCGAAAGGCGGCCUAACACGAUAUGCGGUUCUCAGCAGGCAUCUAACGAGAACGAAAUGUGAAGGAGAAGGAUGGGGGAUGCGUCUGAUUAGCUUGUUGGCGGGGUAACGGCCCACCAAGGCGACGAUCAGUAGGGGUUCUGAGAGGAAGGUCCCCCACAUUGGAACUGAGACACGGUCCAAACUCCUACGGGAGGCAGCAGUGAGGAAUAUUGGUCAAUGGACGGGAGUCUGAACCAGCCAAGUAGCGUGCAGGACGACGGCCCUAUGGGUUGUAAACUGCUUUUAUAGGGGGAUAAAGUGUGCCACGUGUGGCAUAUUGCAGGUACCCUAUGAAUAAGGACCGGCUAAUUCCGUG
rnacentral:rRNA from 1 species